AUUGAACGCUGGCGGCAGGCCUAACACAUGCAAGUCGAACGAGGGGCGGACGGGUGAGUAAUGUCUGGGAAACUGCCCGAUAGAGGGGGAUAACUACUGGAAACGGUAGCUAAUACCGCAUACCAUCGGAUGUCCCCAGAUGGGAUUAGCUGGUAGGUGAGGUAACGGCUCACCUAGGCGACGAUCACUAGCUGGUCUGAGAGGAGGAUCAGCCACACUGGGACUGAGACACGGCCCAGACUCCUACGGGAGGCAGCAGUGGGUAAUAUUGCACAAUGGGCGCAAGCCUGAUGCAGCAAUGCCGCGUGGAUGAAGAAGGCCUUCGGGUUGUAAAGUACUUUCAGCGGAGAGGCGUUACCCGCAGAAGAAGCACCGGCUAACUCCGUGCCAGCAGCCGCGGUAAUUC
rnacentral:rRNA from 1 species